UACGAAGGGUGCAAGCGUUACUCGGAAUUACUGGGCGUAAAGCGUGCGUAGGCGGUUUGUUACGUCUGUUGUGAAAGCCCCGGGCUCAACCUGGGAAUGGCAAUGGAUACUGGCAGGCUAGAGUGCGGUAGAGGGUAGUGGAAUUCCCGGUGUAGCGGUGAAAUGCGUAGAGAUCGGGAGGAACCCCAGUGGCGAAGGCGGCUACCUGGACCAGCACUGACACUGAGGCACGAAAGCGUGGGGAGCAAACAGG
rnacentral:rRNA from 1 species